CAGAGGGUCGGGUACGGAUGGGACUCAGAGAGGGGGUGAAGGCAGAGGGUCGGGUACGGAUGGGACUCAGAGAGGGGGUGAAGGCAGAGAGCCGGGUACGGAUGGGACUCAGAGAGGGGGUGAAGGCAGAGAGCCGGGUACGGAUGGGACUCAGAGAGGGGGUGAAGGCAGAGAGCCGGGUACGGAUGGGACUCAGAGAGGGGGUGAAGGCAGAGAGCCGGGUACGGAUGGGACUCAGAGAGGGGGUGAAGGCAGAGAGCCGGGUACGGAUGGGACUCAGAGAGGGGGUGAAGGCAGAGGGUCGGGUACGGAUGGGACUCAGAGAGGGGGUGAAGGCAGAGGGUCGGGGUACGGAUGGGACUCAGAGGGGGUGAAGGCAGACAGCUGGGGCAGAGCUGGAACUUGGGGGUCGGGGGAGGCCGAGUUGGGCCCGG